rnacentral:rRNA from 1 species
GCUAGUCUAGGGGCUCCUUCGGGAGCACCGGCGGACGGCUCAGUAACACGUGGACAACCUGCCCUCGGGUGGGGGAUAACCCCGGGAAUCUGGGGCUAAUCCCCCAUAGGUGAUGGGUGCUGGAAUGCCCCAUCUCCGAAAGCGCUCAGCGCCCGAGGAUGGGUCUGCGGCGGAUUAGGUAGUUGGUGGGGUAACGGCCCGCCAAGCCUAAGAUCCGUACGGGCUGUGGGAGCAGGAGCCCGGAGAUGGACCCUGAGACAAGGGUCCAGGCCCUACGGGGCGCAGCAGGCGCGAAACCUCCGCAAUGCGGGAAACCGCGACGGGGUUAGCCGGAGUGCCCGUGCAUCGCACGGGCUGUCGGGGUGCCUAAACAGCACCCCAUAGCAAGGGCCGGGCAAGGCCGGUGGCAGCCGCCGCGGUAAGACCGGCGGCCCGAGUGACGGCCACUCUUAUUGGGCCUAAAGCGUCCGUAGCCGGCUCAGUAAGUCCCCCGGGAAAUCUGGUCGCUUAACGAUCAGACUUCCGGGGGAUACUGCUGAGCUAGGGACCG